rnacentral:ncRNA from 1 species
GUAGAGUAGGUUCUGCGCGUUAAGUGCCAUGUGUAUGGGAUGUCGACCAUGGACGAAGCUUCCUGGGAAGCGCGGUGCAGAGCCGCGUCCGCUGC